CAUAUAUGCACUGUUCAUUAUUUCUAAGAAUGUUUAGAGCUUUAGCUUUUUAAACUUACAUAGUUAUCAAAGGAAUAAAGCCAAUCACAAAAUAAGAAUUAAUUCAGAAAGAUAUACACACUUCGCUAUUAACAGCAACGUUAUUUAUAAUUGCCGAAUUAUGGAAGCAUCCUAAGUGCACACUGAUAGAUGAAUGGAUAAAGAAGACGCAGCGUAUGUAUGUAAUGGGAUACAACUCACCCAUAAAAAGCAGAAUAAUUUGUCAUUUGCG